ACGGGAGGCAGCAGUGGGGGAUAUUGCACAAUGGAGGAAACUCUGAUGCAGCAACGCCGCGUGAGGGAAGAAGGUUUUCGGAUUGUAAACCUCUGUUUUUAGUGAAGAAACAAAUGACGGUAGCUAAAGAGGAAGCCACGGCUAACUACGUGCCAGCAGCCGCGGUAAUACGUAGGUGGCAAGCGUUGUCCGGAUUUACUGGGUGUAAAGGGUGCGCAGGCGGGACUGCAAGUUGGAUGUGAAAUACCGGGGCUCAACCCCGGAACUGCAUCCAAAACUGUAGUUCUUGAGUGGAGUAGAGGUAAGCGGAAUUCCGAGUGUAGCGGUGAAAUGCGUAGAUAUUCGGAGGAACACCAGUGGCGAAGGCGGCUUACUGGGCUCUAACUGACGCUGAGGCACGAAAGCAUGGGUAGCAAACAGGAUUAGAUACCCUGGUA
rnacentral:rRNA from 1 species